rnacentral:misc_RNA from 1 species
CAGAGUUGCAAAACUCCCACAAACCAUCGCGAAUCUUACCCGUACGGUCGCCUCGGCGCUGGCGGUCCGGAAGGCCCUCGGGCCCCCCGGAUCCUCGGGUCUCCCGCUCGCGGGAGGCUGCCCGCCGGAGUGCCGAAACCAAACUCUUGAUAUUUUAUGUCUCUCUGAGUAAACUUUUAAAUAAGUCA